UACGAAGGGGGCUAGCGUUGUUCGGAAUUACUGGGCGUAAAGAGCACGUCGGCGGACUUGUAAGUCAGGGGUGAAAUCCCGGGGCUCAACCCCGGAACUGCCUUUGAUACUGCGAGUCUUGAGGUCGAGAGAGGUGAGUGGAAUUCCGAGUGUAGAGGUGAAAUUCGUAGAUAUUCGGAGGAACACCAGUGGCGAAGGCGGCUCACUGGCUCGAUACUGACGCUGAGGUGCGAAAGCGUGGGGAGCAAACAGG
rnacentral:rRNA from 1 species